GGAGGAGGGGGUGAUACCCCCCCCCCACCACCACCACCCCCUGGGAGCAGAAUCUGCCCUCCGGGCCGGCGUCCAGCCCCGGGCAUCGUCAGACACCACCCCCCCAACCCCCGGCUUCCCCCCUCAAUUCACGGCGGCGGGUUUGAGCAGCAGGGAGCCGGGGGGGAUGAGCACCCACCCGGGGGGGAGCGCCUCGGGGCUGCCCCCCGAGCCGACGCCGGCCGAGAGGUCGAGCACGGCCCCCGGCAGCAGCGCCAGGCUCUCGGGGGGGACCCGCGGCGGCCGCCCCGGCUCCGUCCUUUCUCCCCUUUCCUUCCGGCUCUCCGGCCCUUUGCCGGCUUUGGGGGGUCGCCCCUCGCCCCCGCUGCCCUUCUCCCCCUCGGCCUUGGCCAGCAGCGACAUGACGGGCAGCCCCAGCCCCGCGGCGAAGGGCGAGGGCAGCAGCGGGCUCUUGGCCAAGUUCAAGGGGCCGCCGUUGAGGGGCAGGACGGGGCCCGGCAGGGCGGGCAGGCCCCCGGCGGCCCCGCAGCCCAGAGCGCUGAGGUCGAGGGGUGCCGGAGCCAAAGGGAUGGGCAAGGCCGGCAGCCCCGGGGGAGCGAAGAGGGCGGCGGGGUUGGGGAUCACCAGCUGCGCCCCGUUAACGUAGGGCACCUCCGGCGAGCCCAGGGGCGUUUUGGGAGGCGGGUGGUGGACCUUGAGCAUCUCCGGGUGGUCGGGGGAGACGAAGUGGCCGUGGGCUUUGAUGUGCUUGCGGAGGGAGCUGGGGUCGGUGUAGCGCUUGUGGCAGCCCGGCAUCUUGCAGGAGUAGGGCUUCUCCACGUAGUGGGUGCGGGUGUGCUUGAAGCGGUCGCUGGAGUUGGAGUAACGCUUGUUGCAGCCUUCGUAGGGGCAGAUGUAGGGCUUCUCGCCUGCGGGAUGCCACAGCAGAGGGUCUGCCGGAGGUGGGGGACACGGCCCCGGCCUCACCGGGUCCCCUGUGGCCCCACAUCCCCGAGCCUCCCCCCAACCCCAGCGCUGACCUGUGUGCGAGCGGUUGUGGAUUUUCAGGUUCUCCAGGCGGGAGAAGCUCUUGUUGCAGGUGGGGCAGCGAUGCGGCUUCUCGUUGGUGUGCGUCCGGAUGUGGAUCAGCAUCUUGUACCUGCCAGGGUCGGGGGGCUGAUGUUAGGUGGGGGGGGGGGGGGGGGGGGGGGGGGGGGGGGGGGGGGGGGGGGGGGGGGGGGGGGGAGGGGCGGGAUCAGCCCCAUCUCCUUACCCCCAUGCCCUGGCUAUGGGGUGGUCCCCCUAGGAGCCCACACUGGAGGGGCUGGAUGGAUGGAGACCUCCCUUUGCACAGCCCCCGGUGCUGGGCUCCUGUGUCCACACAGCAACUCAGAGCAGCCCCCCCCUCCCUGA
rnacentral:lncRNA from 1 species